rnacentral:rRNA from 1 species
AAGGAUCAUUAUUGGUUUGCUACCGUUGUUGUAGACCGUGUUGUGACGAUGACGAUGGCUUGCUGGCAGGGGCGCUGCCAGCCGGCCGAGGGGAGGUCCCCUGUCCUCAAGGUGGCCGGCUUCUUAGCCCCCAGUGGGCGGUCGGCCCGCCUCCCGCCAAAGUUUGACUGUGGGGUACCUGUCCUGUCCGGGAUGCCGGGUCGCGGUGGUCCUUACCGCCUGCGGCCGCCGGCAGUUCGGCAGGGUGAGCUGGAGGAAGGCUCUAUGCGCCGUCCCGGGAGCUCUCGUUCCCGCUUCGGCGACCCCUCCUGGGCGAUGGUUUAAAGAGUCGCUGGUCCUCUUGCUUGCGACCGCCCCCUGGCCUUUUGUUUUUUCGCUUUUUUUCCCCCAGGGGAAACCAAGCGCUUCUCAUCGCAUUUUCCUUUGUGAACGCAAACCUUGCGUCGGGCCUGUCGUCCACACUCCCCGGCCGGUUCCAGCCCGCGAAAGCCUCUUUGCGGUGGUUGGGGACCGUCAAGGCAGGGAGGAGGACCGCCCUUCGCACCGCACAGAAAGAAAC